rnacentral:lncRNA from 1 species
UAGUCUUAUGAGAUCUGCUUGGUGUUUAUUAUAUUCAUAAUGGCAUAUGACGGUGAUGACUACUACUACUACCACCACCCCACAAGCUAGUAUGUGUUGUCCACUUACUGUAAGCCAGGCACUACUUUAGCAAAUUUAAUGUUCAUAAGUAGGCAUUUUAUUAAAGAUUCAUAUUAUAGGUAGGGAAUCUGGAAUUCAGGUAGGAAAAGUGCCUUGCUCAACGUAUUUGUGCUUUUUGUGCUAAUAGAUGUUAGAUUUGGGAUUAAUCGUACUUGAAUCAUUCCUCUGUCCUAGAGAAAUUCAUAUGAUGACUAGUUCCUACUCUAGAUGCCCAUUAUUUUUUCUAAAAUACUCAUUUUCUCUUCAUGUUCCUGAAGUUUAUUAUGUCCAUUUUCAUUUUUUUCUUCUUAUUAUUAAUUACUUUUCAUCUUUAUGUUGUCAAAACAGUGGUGGCCUCAAAAUCUAAACCUAUAUCCCAUCUGCUUUCCACAGACGGUUCUCAACUAAUUCAUCUCACUUAAGAGCAGUGCCAUUGGGCAUCCUAAAUAUAUUCUUUCUUCUUCCUUAUUUCUACCAUUAUUUCCAUUACUUCUCACUCUCAGAAAAAAAAAUCACAGUGACUCUGGCUUUGUUCUCUUUAUUUAUUUAGUUUUUAAUAGAUCAUGUAGAUCUCAAGUCAUACUCUUCAUUUCAAGUGUCUCGGCCUUACUUCCAUUUCUACCUUUACUAUACUAUUUUAGUUAUUUAUUUCCCUUCUCAAAUUAUGAUGGAAGGCACGUUUUCACAGGACGGCAGGAGCGAGAAGUACAGAGUGAAGGGUGAAAGACCCUUAUAAAGCCAUCAGAUCUCAUGAGAACUCACCCACUGUCACAAGAACAGCAUGGAGGACCCGCCCCCAUGAUCUAAUCACCUCCCACAAGGUUCCUCCCCAACACAUGGGGAUUAGGGGAUUAGAAUUUAAGUUAGAAUUCAAGGUGAGAUUUUUGGUGAGGACACAUCCAAACCAUAUCAGCAUCCUACUUUCUACUCCUGACUCACUCUCUCCUAACAUCCAUCUUCAUCCUAACAUCAUUUCUUUUGUCAGCCAAACUACUUUGGUGACUCAACAAGAAUAA